UACGAAGGGGGCUAGCGUUGCUCGGAAUCACUGGGCGUAAAGGUGCGUAGGCGGGUUUUUAAGUCAGGGGUGAAAUCCUGGAGCUCAACUCCAGAACUGCCUUUGAUACUGAAGAUCUUGAGUUCGGGAGAGGUGAGUGGAACUGCGAGUGUAGAGGUGAAAUUCGUAGAUAUUCGCAAGAACACCAGUGGCGAAGGCGGCUCACUGGCCCGAUACUGACGCUGAGGCACGAAAGCGUGGGGAGCAAACAGG
rnacentral:rRNA from 1 species